rnacentral:rRNA from 1 species
CAGUAGCCGCGGGAAUACGAAGGGGGCUAGCGUUGCUCGGAAUGACUGGGCGUAAAGGGCGCGUAGGCGGCCAUUCAAGUUAGAUGUGAAAGCCCUGGGCUCAACCUAGGAAUUGCAUUUGAUACUGUUUGGCUUGAGUUCGGGAGAGGUGAGUGGAAUUCCCAGUGUAGAGGUGAAAUUCGUAGAUAUUGGGAAGAACACCAGUGGCGAAGGCGGCUCACUGGACCGACACUGACGCUGAGGCGCGAAAGCGUGGGGAGCAAACAGGAUUAGAUACCCCGGUAGUCCCUGUCUCUUAACA